ACUCCUACGGGAGGCAGCAGUGGGGAAUAUUGCACAAUGGGCGCAAGCCUGAUGCAGCCAUGCCGCGUGUAUGAAGAAGGCCUCGGUUGUAAAUGCACUUCAGUCGUGAGGAAGGUAGUGUAGUUAAUAGCUGCAUUAUUUGACGUUAGCGACAGAAGAAGCACCGGCUAACUCCGUGCCAGCAGCCGCGGUAAUACGGAGGGUGCGAGCGUUAAUCGGAAUUACUGG
rnacentral:rRNA from 1 species